rnacentral:lncRNA from 1 species
UGGUGAUAAAUGGACAAAAAAUUAAGGAAGCAUGGGCCAAAUGCAAGUACUGCACAUAUAAAGCAAAGAGAAAUAGCAAGAAUGGGACAUCAGUCUUCUUGAACCAUAUUAAUAUGCAUAGAGAAAUAGCAAGUAUGUCUGAUUACCUCUUGAUAAUUACUGCUAUUUUAUUUCUAUAAAGUGACAACAAUUUUUCUGUAAAUUUGAACGCCGCUGCUACAUAGGACAAUCAAGGAAUGGACAAUUCGCUAAUGUAUAUUAGUAUAUACUUAUUAGUUAUUACCUAGCUUCUAUCGUCUUUGCACAUACAGAUUAGUGUGUGUGUGUGUGUGUGUUCGAACUACUUAGUUCAUGACAACUAAUUAUCAAAUAUUUCUUUGAUUGUCCAGUGUAGCAUCUAAAUAUGUUUUAUCAUUCUCAUAGGAUGUUGCAAGUGGACUGGAAGAAACACCAUGUUGAAGAGAAGUCAAGGAUGUGUUACGGGCUUCUACUUGAUAGAUUACUUGCCUUUUAUAAUAAAUAAAAACUUCAAUAGAAUUUUGAAUUAAGUAUUUCUUAAGUAAGACAUUUGUCUUGGACGUGUGUAAUGCUAUCAUCAU